rnacentral:lncRNA from 1 species
UCCAGCUGCUUUAGAAAUCUGCAACCAGGGGCUCCUGUAGAAUUGGGGCCACCAACCUGGCGGGUUACAGGUUCAUCUUUGGCCAUCCCUUCCUCCAGUGCCGUCUUCCCUCCGUGGACCAUCUCAUCCAUCCUGUGUCUCAGGAGGCAAGAUGACUUCCAGCUUGACAUCACCUACCCCUAUGUCCUUCCUGAGCUUCGGUGACUUAUUUAUGUGGAUAAUUCGCUGGAGAUCCUCACAGUCCCUCCACUGAACAUGGCACCGUUUGACUCUGCCAUCCAUGCUCCCACCCUUUUCCCCGUCUAUCCCUCACUCCCCAUGACCUGCUUCUUUGUCAGUCUUCAUUGUCCCAGCUCCUGCAGACCUAGUUGCCCAAACCAGCAACUGGGUUGACACCUUCUCUCAGCUUGCACCUCUCAUGCUGCCUGUUUACAACCAGCCCUCAUUUAUGUGCCUGUAUGUGGACUAGGAGAUAAACCUGUUUGUAAGAUUGUAAUGUGCUAUACACAUAGGGCAGAAUCAUAAUUAUAACUCGUUGAGCAAGAGAAAAAAAAGACAUCCAUCAGCCGAGCAUUAUUUGAGCCCAUUCCUGUAUCUCUCCCAAAGCGGGAGGAGUACUGAAUA